rnacentral:ncRNA from 2 species
GCCGCUGUCGUACCCUGGGAAAGCCGGUGCAAGUCCGGCACUGACCCGCAACCGUCACAGUCGGAGCUCCUGGUGCGGC